AUUGAACGCUGGCGGCAGGCUCAACACAUGCAAGUCGAGCGGGGUGAUGGUGCUUGCACUAUCACUUAGCGGCGGACGGGUGAGUAAUGCUUAGGAAUCUGCCUAUUAGUGGGGGACAACAUCUCGAAAGGGAUGCUAAUACCGCAUACGUCCUACGGGAGAAAGCAGGGGAUCACUUGUGACCUUGCGCUAAUAGAUGAGCCUAAGUCGGAUUAGCUAGUUGGUGGGGUAAAGGCCUACCAAGGCGACGAUCUGUAGCGGGUCUGAGAGGAUGAGCCGCCACACUGGGACGGAGACACGGCCCAGACUCCUACGGGAGGCAGCAGUGGGGAAUAUGGGACAAUGGGGGGAACCCUGAUCCAGCCAUGCCGCGUGUGUGAAGAAGGCCUUAUGGUUGUAAAGCACUUUAAGCGAGGAGGAGGCUCUUUUGGUUAAUACCCAAGAUGAGUGGACGUUACUCGCAGAAUAAGCACCGGCUAACUCUGUGCCAGCCGCCGCAGUAA
rnacentral:rRNA from 1 species